UUGCAGCCGACACUUUCAUUUCUCUGCAUAUAUUUGUUUUUUUUUUUUGAAACCUUAACACACACAACACAACAUCCAUCCACCCUUCAUAUUCAACAUUUGAGGAACCCUAGACCCCCUUCCUCUCGUUCUUUCUGAUCGGCGGCCACAGGUGGAGCCGACGAUGGUUAGUCGGCCGGCGAGGCACCUCCGACGUCACACACCACUCACGCCCCCCCCCCCCCCUGUCUGUUUCGUCACCGGAGAUGACCAUCGGCGGUGCGGCGGUGAUGGAUACGACAGUCAGCGACACCCUUCAUCUCGUUCCUCUUUCCGACGACACCCACACAAACCACGCGACACCAUCUUUCUCUGACGACAGAAGCCGCAAAUCAGGUCGUUUCUCCGGCCGUUUUUCUGAUAAAGAUGAUACAUGACGAUGAUGAGCGAUGUGAUGGUGAAGACGAUGAUGAUGUCGAUUAACGGUUACAGCCGUUACUUUUCCGUUUCCGUACGACUCCUCUUCGACUCAAGAUUGAUCCAGGUUAGGUUCGGAUCCACUCGGGCCAGAUUGGUUGAAGUGUUCGGUCAACUCAGUACGGCUAGGUCAACCACAGGCAACAUCAACUUCUGUUCGAGACUCGGUCAAACCCGAGUCCACUCGGGUCAACUCAGUCGGGUUAAAAUCUGGUUCAGCAGGCUCAGUUUUGUUCGAUAAUUUCAGUUCAAGUGACAACUUGGUUCGAAUCGGUCAACUGGUUUCGGUGCGGGUUACGGGUCGACAAGUCAACGCUGGUCAACUGGUCAACAGAUUCGGUUCGGGUCAAGCGGCUUCGGGUCAGACUCAAUCUCGGUUUCGGGUGACUCGGUACCGAGUCAACUCGGUCAACAACGGUUAAACAGGUCAACGCCCGGUCAACAUGAAGGACCCGGUAAAGUAUUAAGCGUAGCAAAUUAGUUAAGUUAGAUAUAUAUAGUUAAACGCGGAACCGAGCUCGACCGAUACCGUUAGUGAUUAAUUACGUUUUAUUUUUGUCGUAUUUGAUAAAGAUUUAGUUUAUAUUGUGUGAAUUGAUUGAAUUAUUGUUGAGAUUUGACAAAAUACGA